AUUGAACGCUGGCGGCAUGCUUUACACAUGCAAGUCGAACGGUAACAGGCCUUCGGGUGCUGACGAGUGGCGAACGGGUGAGUAAUGCAUCGGAACGUACCCAGAGGUGGGGGAUAACGCAGCGAAAGCUGUGCUAAUACCGCAUGUGAUCUGAGGAUGAAAGCGGGGGACCGAGCAGCAAUGUUUGGCCUCGCGCCUUUGGAGCGGCCGAUGUCGGAUUAGCUAGUUGGUGGGGUAAAGGCCUACCAAGGCGACGAUCCGUAGCUGGUCUGAGAGGACGACAAGCCACACUGGGACUGAGACACGGCCCAGACUCCUACGGGAGGCAGCAGUGGGGAAUUUUGGACACUGGGCGCAAGCCUGAUCCAGCAAUGCCGCGUGCGGGAAGAAGGCCUUCGGGUUGUAAACCGCUUUUGGCAGGAACGAAACGGUGUCCGCUAAUACCGGGCGCUAAUGACGGUACCUGCAGAAUAAGCACCGGCUAACUACGUG
rnacentral:rRNA from 1 species